CUUGGCCCUGUGCCACCCUAGCCCUGCCCUGGCCUUCUGCUGACCCUGAUCCUGCCAUGGCCCUGGCCCUGCCAUGUCCCUGCCCUGGCCCUGGUUCUUCCCUGCUUCUGGACCUGGCCUUGGUCCUCUCAUGUCCCUGGCUGUGACCCUGCCCCUGGUUUUUCUCUGGCCAUGACCCUGCCCCAGUUCUGUCCUAUCCCUGGCCCUGUCUCAGUUCUGUCCUAGCCCUGGCCUUUCACAGUACUUUAUGCUUAGUAAGGGCUCCAUGGUGUCUGUGAGUUGAAUGUUGUGUUCAUAGUAUCUGCCAAAACAGAAAGAAAAAAGUAAAAUAUUUUGAUAAGAAGUUAAAGCUUUGUAUAUAAU
rnacentral:lncRNA from 10 species